rnacentral:lncRNA from 1 species
CAGCAACAACAGUCUUUCAACACGUACAUAACAUGCGAAUAUAGACGAAUGUGUAGUAGGGAUCCAAUGGAUAAAAAAAAAAAAAAAACAAAGGAAGAGGCUUUCAUGCGGUUGUGGCUCAUGGUCACAGAAAACCUUGGGCAAUUGACUUUUGGAGUGAUGUCCACACAAAGGAAAAGAAAAAAAAAAAGCAAACCCAGCAACUCAU